rnacentral:rRNA from 1 species
AUUGAACGCUGGCGGCAGGCCUAACACAUGCAAGUCGAGCGGAUGAAGGGAGCUUGCUCCUGGAUUCAGCGGCGGACGGGUGAGUAAUGCCUAGGAAUCUGCCUGGUAGUGGGGGAUAACGUCCGGAAACGGGCGCUAAUACCGCAUACGUCCUGAGGGAGAAAGUGGGGGAUCUUCGGACCUCACGCUAUCAGAUGAGCCUAGGUCGGAUUAGCUAGUUGGUGGGGUAAAGGCCUACCAAGGCGACGAUCCGUAACUGGUCUGAGAGGAUGAUCAGUCACACUGGAACUGAGACACGGUCCAGACUCCUACGGGAGGCAGCAGUGGGGAAUAUUGGACAAUGGGCGAAAGCCUGAUCCAGCCAUGCCGCGUGUGUGAAGAAGGUCUUCGGAUUGUAAAACACUUUAAGUUGGGAGGAAGGGCAGUAAGUUAAUACCUUGCUGUUUUGACGUUACCAACAGAACAAGCACCGGCUAACUUCGUG